CCAAAAUAUUUGUGUCAUAUUGCUCUUGAUACAAAUAUUAUGGUCUUCAUAACUUGUGUAUACUAUAUGCAAGUUGAUUAGUGACGCCAUUCCCGUUGUUUUCAUUUUAUUUUUUAUCAUGUACCUAACUAAUCUCUACUAGCUUAUUGAUAAUGAUACAUGUUGAUCAAGUUGAACACUUCCACAAGCGUUUACUUUUCUUUUUGAUUAAUAUAAUUAGCAUCCAACCUAAAUGAUCUUUUAUGCUCUCGUGUUCAUGCAAUGCUGAACUCUCCAUAGCCAUUAAUUCUAAAGGUUGUGUACUUGAAGAUUUGGGGAUAGAUAUAACCAAACGCAAACUCUAUCAAUAGUCAAUUCAGAAACUUCAACAAAAACCAAUUAUACAAUGUUCUUCAAUUGGAGAGAUAUACAUUUUCAUUGUUUUUGUCCUUUCUCUAAUAAUCCAAACACGAGAAGAGACCAAAGGAAAAGAGGAAACAAUAAUCACAAGAAAAGAAUAGAAAAGAAAAAAAGUAAAGGAAGAGAAGAGAAGAAGAAUAGAGGAAAUGGAAGAAGACAAAAAAAGAAUAAUUGAUACUAGUAAUUAAGAGGAUUGAGAAGAAGAAAGAUGUUUGUAUUUGAUAAUUAUUAGUAUUAUUAUUGUGUUUCAUAAAUAAAUAUUGGCUCAACUCAACUUUCCUAGGUGAGGAGGAAACAAUUGAGGCUACAAAUUGUGUGUUUCGUAAUGUAGCACUCUGGAGUCAGAACAACAUUUAUUUUCUACUUUGUGGUUUUCCCCUUUCAAUAUGCAAAUUGCAAAUUGUUAAAUGUU